rnacentral:rRNA from 1 species
UACGUAGGGUGCAAGCGUUAAUCGGAAUUACUGGGCGUAAAGCGUGCGCAGGCGGUUGUGCAAGACAGAUGUGAAAUCCCCGGGCUCAACCUGGGAAUUGCAUUUGUGACUGUACGGCUAGAGUGUGUCAGAGGGGGUAGGAAUUCCACGUGUAGCAGUGAAAUGCGUAGAGAUGUGGAGGAAUACCGAUGGCGAAGGCAGCCCCCUGGGAUAACACUGACGCUCAUGCACGAAAGCGUGGGGAGCAAACAGG